rnacentral:lncRNA from 1 species
AAUGUGAUGUGCAUGACAAUUGGGCACUGAGCAACUUCUCAGACCUUGGAAUCAGAUUGGACACCACCACCCUCAUUUCCUGUUCCACGUUGAUUUUCACAUAAUACUUGUUUAUUAUCACAGAAAUCACCCAAAUCAAGCUAUGCAAAGGUGUCACAUCAUCAAAAGAAGUGUAGCUCAAUCUGGUGUUGAAGCUAUGAACAACCUUGAGCUAGAAUUUUGUGCAGGAUCUGACAGAUGUUUCUGUGUUUGUCUUGAAAUUUUUUUUUUUUUUGGUAAGAAAGAUUGGCCCUGAGCUAACAUCUGUUGCCAAUCCUCCUCUUUUUGCUUGAGGCAGAUUGUCCCUGAAUUAACAUCUAUGCCAAUCUUCCUCUAUUUUUUGUAUGUGGGAUACCAGCCACCAUAGCAUGGUUUGAUAAGCAGUGUGUAAGUCCACAUCCAGGAUCCGAACCUGCAAACCCCAGGCCGCCAAAGCAGAGUGUGUGAACUUAACCACUAUGCCACUGGGCCAGCACCUGUCUUGAAAUUUUUGAAUAUCCCGCCAUACUACUGUGGAACUUGAUGUGAUGUCCCAGGGUACCUUGGUGCACAGUUUGGGAACUGCAGUACUACGCAAAAAAUUUAGAUGUUAUGUAUAUUAUGGAGUGGCAUCAAAGAGUUGUAAAGGAAGUGAGUAACGUAGUCUUAGAAAUAUCAGUGUCAGGACGAGGCUGGAGGAGAGUAAGAAUAGAGGCAAGUGGACAAGUCAGUAGGUGAUGACAGCAGUUCAGGAAAUAUUCUCAAAGCUAAAGCAAAGUACGGGCAGUGGCUAUGGAGAGAAGGAGGGUGGUGGUGUGAAGGGAAAGAGUGAUGGUGGUUUUAUAACUUGACCCUCAAUUCUUUGACCAUCUUUCCAUCUAAAAUUGUUAUGUCCCCACUCCUUGAAUCUGGGUUCUGUGGCUGCUUGGAUAAUAGAAUAUGGUGGAAAUGAUAUGUGCUAGUUUCUGGGCCGAGGCCUUAAGAAACUGACUGUUCCACUUCCUGUCAGUGGGCUACUUGUUCUUGGAACCCACUUCCUCUCUCGUAAGCUGCUCAUUCUUCACACUGUGCGGAGAGCUAAUCGGCAGAGAGCCUCACUGAGGUCUCUAGGCCACAGCCCCAGCUGAGCUCAGCCACAGCCAACACCAACUUGCCAACCAUCUGAGUGAGCCACCGUGAAGUGGACCCUCCAGCCCCAAGCCCAGCUGCCCCAGCCAAUGAGCUGCCCACUCCCAGCCCUAACUAAUUUACAGAUUCAUGAGCGUCAUGCAUUCACUAAAACAAGCUUAGUGGCUUGUUUUAAGCCACUAAGUUAUGGGGUGGCUUGUUACACAUCAACAGGCAACUGAUAGAAAAAGCUAAUGUCAAUUUAAGACAUUACAUGUGCCAAUGUUUGAAGUGCUUUCUGUGACUGUUUCAUUUAGUCUUCUCAACAAAUAUUGCUAAUGUCUCUGUUUUAUUCAUGAGAUAACUGAAGCCUGGAGCAUGUCCCCAAAGUCUUACAACUCAUUGGUGAUGAAUUAGAUAUAGGGACAAGGAGGGCAGCAAGUGAGAGGAACAUUCAUUGUGACUAACUGGUAAGUUUGGGUGUCAGUGGUGUCAUUGCCUGACAAUAAAUACAAGAAUACAGGCAAAGAUAGGAAAUAUAGGAAAAGGGUAAAUCAGGUUUUGGAGGAAGAUGAUACUUAUAGCUUUGGACAUGCAGGUGACAAUGCCUAAGAGCAUUUGGUUGUAUGAGUCUAGAGUUCAAAGGAGGACUUAUAGCUACAGAUAAAAACCUGGAAAUUACUAGAAUAUAAAUGAUAAUUAAAACCUUGACACUUGAUGAAAUCACACAGGGAAAGAAUGUAGAUUCAGAGAAUAAGAAGAGGAUGAUACUCUGGUUGUGAGAAGAUUUAAGAUUCGAGGAAAGAAGGAGAAAAGAAAAUGCAGAGUGGCAGGAGGAAAAUCAGUAAAAAGCAAAAUGAAGACAUUCAAAGGAUCAGGUAGUUUCAAAAAAGGAGAGAUUGGGGACCAUCCCUCUGGCAUAGUGGUGAAGUUCAGUGCACUCUGCUUUGGUGGCCUGGGUUCAGAUCAUGGUCAUGGACCUACACCACUUGUCAGCCAUGCUGUGGCUGUGACCCACAUAUAAAGUGGAGAAAGACUGGCACAGAUGUUAGCUCACAGUUAAUCUUCCUCAGCAAAAGAAAACCAAAGAAAAAGAAAAAAAGGGAGAGAUUGGCCAAUGUUUUCAAAUUCUACAGAAAGGGCAAGUGAAAUAAUGUCUGGCAAAGAGGAGGUGAACUUAGUGACAGAACUUUUAGUGGUGUGCUGAGACUAGCAGACAGAUUAUGGUGGAUCAGAAAUGAAUGAGAAGGGGCUGGCCCCAUGACCAAGUAGUUAAGUUCACAUGGUCUACUUUGGCGGCCUGGGGUUCACAGGUUCAGAUCCUGGGCACAGACCUACACACCUCUCAACAAGCCAUGCUGAGGCAACAUCCCACAUAGAAGAGCUAGAAUGACCCACAACCAGGAUAUACAACAACAUACUGGUGCUUUGGGGAGAAAACAAAAAAAGGAAGAUUGGUACAGAUGUUAGCUCAGGGCCAGCCUUCCUCACCAAAAAUUUUAGUAAAGUAAACUAAGAAAAAAAAAGAAGGAAAGAAAUGAAUAAGCGAGAAAUUGGAAACAGUGGGGAGCGUCACAUAAGACAUUUUUUUGCUCGGAAAUGACAGGGAAAAUAAUACAGCUGAGAUGACUUAUGCAAAAAGCUAUCUAUUGGCUCAUGUAACUAAAAUAUCCCGGAGUAUUUCUGGCUUUAGUCACUGCUGGCCUCAGCAGCACCCAUGACGUCACCAGGAUCCAGUUUCUCUCCAUUUCUCAGCUAUUCUUCUUUCUGCUGCCUUCUCAGCUGGGCUCUCCCCCUUGUGCUGGCAGACGGCCUGGUACAGCUCCAGAACAAUUGACUUCCAGGCUCCAAGCCCUUGGAAAAGAAAAUCUACUUUCUCAAUAACUCAAACAAAAUUCCCAAAGUUGGGUCUAAUCUAGUCUAAUCUAAUUGGCCUGACUUGGUCCCAGGCCCCUCUCUGAAUCAAUCAGGAUUGCCUAUGUAAGCCGAGGGACUGGUUAGAUAGGUUUAGAUUCCAAGGAGGCAGGAGGGACGGCUCCUCAAAGGGAAAUCAGCAGCUGAUUACCAGAAGAAGGAAGAAGGGAUGCGAGCAGUGAGAACAAUAGUCAGUCAUUAUGGGGAUUAGGAACUGCCGUCUGAGGAGGUUUGGCUGCAGAGGCGAAAAGAGAGACCUACAGUGAGAGUGGGGUUGAGAGAGAGUUUUAAGAGAAACAAACAGGUGAAACAGAAGCUGAAGAUGCCAGAAGGAGAAGAAAGGGGAUGAAACACGCCACUGAGGAGUUGCCUGGAUCAAGAGAACAGCUGAAGCAUUAGCUUUGAGCUGCAGGAGGAGGGUUACCUCCUCCUCUGAGACCGGGCAGAAGGAAGGUCAUGUGCCAAGGCUGAGAAGGAAAGUUCACUGAGGAAGGAGCACCAUGGUUUCUGUGGGAGCGUGGGACACUUUGGAUGUGCAGACAAAUUGAUGGAUGACAACGUUACGUUUUAAAAGAACAUAAUUCCCGAUUUAACUUUUUAAUAUUAAUGCCAUUAGGAAUUUCAACGAAAACAACAGAACGUGGACAUCAGCUCAUACAGUGGAAACGUGAUAAAAUUAUAUUCAAGUGUGGACAUAAAUUUAUUCGCUUCUUGGCUAACAUGGGGAUCAUUUUAGUGAGAAAUCUUUCUUGGGAAAAUUGAUUAAUAAAUUCAUUUGGAGGUUCUGAGACCUGUGGUGGCCUCCAUGGGGGCAGAGCUGAUCGACAGAAGACAAAGAGAGCAGUGUUUUCUUUGUUUCUUGAAGAAUGAGGAAGAAAAUGAGAGAAAAAGAAAGAAUGCUACGAAGACAGCUAAGUAAGGGAAGACUGCAUUCCUUCUGAGGUGAUCUUCAAAUCUUUAGUGAAAUUGCUAAACUGUAGAAACGAUCAGUGAAAGUAGUUUUUGUUUUAAUGGAUGUUAAGCGAAGGGCUGUGUUUCCAAGCUGGGUUGAUCCAAGCAGAAUCAAGGCAGUGCUGUGAACGAGCGAGCAUGGAAGCUGGAGACGUGGGGAUGGCACCCCUCGCAGUGGUACGAAAGGUUCCAGAAUUGCUCUGCAGGCUAUCUUCACCUUUUCUUGGAGGCCAUACUCACCGGUGAACGUACGCACUUUUCUGGUCAUCCUCUUACCUUUAUUAAAAUAAUAGCAGAAAAGAGAAGUCAUAUGGGUAAAAUAAAGUGUAAAACAGAUUUUAUUUACCACGACCCAUAACCAUUUAGGUCAUAGAAAUUAUGACUGGGACUCGAGUAUAUUGGCAAAACGUCUCCAUAAUGUUCAGCUCUUUGUUUUUUCAUUCGAACUUACCUGGCUUUUUCUUCCAGGCAUUGGGUGUAUACUGUGCACCUAGAGAACCAUGGCUGUAAUUGUCCAACAUCAAUCUCCUGUAUCAGACACCCCUUCUCAGAUGUGCAUGGCUUUGAGAUUACAAACUGCAAAAUAGUGAAUAUUUUGGUGUAAGGUGGAUAGAUUAUGAUUAUCAUCCCAUGAACACUUUUGUUCUUUUGAGAAAAAAUAAUGGUAUUCUACUAGUGCCAGUCUCAGCUUUGGACUUUGGGAGGUAAGGGAGCAUUAUCUACAUUCACGACAGUGUUAUUCAUCCUCCUCAUAACCCAUGAGGAAGCAGGGAAGGAUGAUAGUCUUAUUCUUACAGCUCCUGAAGUAGAAGAAGUGACGUGACCAGGGUCACGUAUCCAGUAAUUCAGAGCAUCUCAACCCAUGUAUGCUGCAAACCAGAGUAUGCUGAGAAAUACUGAUAACCACAGCCCUCAGUCAACAGGAAAUACUCCCUACAACUCCGCCCCCACUCCACGCACGCAGGCACGCACACACGCAGGGAGCAGCUUCCGCUAUGGACCACAUUACCAUUUUUUGUGUGUGCUAUGACGGAAAAAUGCGGUAAAGGGAGAUGAGUAACGGAGUCCAACUGUGAAACCAGUUCCGUUUCAUCCCGCUGCCUCUUCGUGAAGACC